rnacentral:rRNA from 1 species
CCCUUAGAUGUUCUGGGCCGCACACGCGCUACACUGAAGGAGGCAGCGUGUACUCCUGGAUCGAAAGAUUUGGGUAACCCGCGAAUCUCCUUCGUGCUAGGGAUUGAGGUUUGCAAUUAUCCUUCAUGAACGAGGAAUUCCCAGUAAGUGCAAGUCAUAAGCUUGCGCUGACUACGUCCCUGCCCUUUGUACACACCGCCCGUCGCUACUACCGAUUGAAUGAUUUAGUGAGGACUUCGGACUGGGACCGAUGCGGCUUUCGGGCUGCGUCGGUAUUCUGGAAAGAUGCCCAAACUGUAUCAUUUAGAGGAAGUAAAANUCGUANCA